rnacentral:rRNA from 1 species
GAUGAACGCUGGCGGCGUGCCUAAUACAUGCAAGUCGAGCGAACAGAUGAGGAGCUUGCUCCUCUGACGUUAGCGGCGGACGGGUGAGUAACACGUGGAUAACCUACCUAUAAGACUGGGAUAACUUCGGGAAACCGGAGCUAAUACCGGAUAAUAUAUUGAACCGCAUGGUUCAAUAGUGAAAGACGGUUUUGCUGUCACUUAUAGAUGGAUCCGCGCCGCAUUAGCUAGUUGGUAAGGUAACGGCUUACCAAGGCGACGAUGCGUAGCCGACCUGAGAGGGUGAUCGGCCACACUGGAACUGAGACACGGUCCAGACUCCUACGGGAGGCAGCAGUAGGGAAUCUUCCGCAAUGGGCGAAAGCCUGACGGAGCAACGCCGCGUGAGUGAUGAAGGUCUUCGGAUCGUAAAACUCUGUUAUUAGGGAAGAACAAAUGUGCAAGUAACUAUGCACGUCUUGACGGUACCUAAUCAGAAAGCCACGGCUAACUACGUG